AACGAACGCUGGCGGCAGGCUUAACACAUGCAAGUCGAACGCCCCGCAAGGGGAGUGGCCGACGGGUGAGUACCGCGUGGGAACAUACCCUUUUCUACGGAAUAGCUCUGGGAAACUGGAAUUAAUACCGUAUACGCCCUACGGGGGAAAGAUUUAUCGGGGAAGGAUUGGCCCGCGUUGGAUUAGCUAGUUGGUGGGGUAAAGGCCUACCAAGGCGACGAUCCAUAGCUGGUCUGAGAGGAUGAUCAGCCACAUUGGGACUGAGACACGGCCCAAACUCCUACGGGAGGCAGCAGUGGGGAAUAUUGGACAAUGGGCGCAAGCCUGAUCCAGCCAUGCCGCGUGAGUGAUGAAGGCCUUAGGGUUGUAAAGCUCUUUCACCGAUGAAGAUAAUGACGGUAGUCGGAGAAGAAGCCCCGGCUAACUUCGUG
rnacentral:rRNA from 1 species